AAUAGAUACCCGGGUAGUCCACCCCGUAAACGUUGGGAACUAGUUGUGGGGUCCUUUCCACGGAUUCCGUGACGCAGCUAACGCAUUAAGUUCCCCGCCUGGGGAGUACGGCCGCAAGGCUAAAACUCAAAGAAAUUGACGGGGACCCGCACAAGCGGCGGAGCAUGCGGAUUAAUUCGAUGCAACGCGAAGAACCUUACCAAGGCUUGACAUACACCAGAACACCCUAGAAAUAGGGGACUCUUUGGACACUGGUGAACAGGUGGUGCAUGGUUGUCGUCAGCUCGUGUCGUGAGAUGUUGGGUUAAGUCCCGCAACGAGCGCAACCCUCGUUCUAUGUUGCCAGCACGUAAUGGUGGGAACUCAUGGGAUACUGCCGGGGUCAACUCGGAGGAAGGUGGGGAUGACGUCAAAUCAUCAUGCCCCUUAUGUCUUGGGCUUCACGCAUGCUACAAUGGCCGGUACAAAGGGCUGCAAUACCGUGAGGUGGAGCGAAUCCCAAAACGCCGGUCCCAGUUCGGAUUGAGGUCUGCAACUCGACCUCAUGAA
rnacentral:rRNA from 1 species